UCAAGCUACUAAGGGCAUACGGUGGAUGCCUAGGCGCCAAGAGCCGAAGAAGGACGCGGUAAGCUGCGAAAAGCCACGGGGAACUGCAAGCAAGUAUUGAUCCGUGGAUAUCCGAAUGGGGAAACCCGGCCAUCGUCAUGGAUGGUCACCCGCAAGGGAGGGAACCUGGGGAACUGAAACAUCUAAGUACCCGGAGGAAGAGAAAUCAAACGAGAUGCCCACAGUAGCGGCGAGCGAAGAGGGCAGAGCCCAAACCGAGAAGCUCCGGCUUUUCGGGGUUGAGGACCGGCAGAAUCGAAGUCAGGCCUAGUUGAAUUACCUGGAAAGGUAAGCGAGAGAGGGUAAAAGCCCCGUAGACGAAAGGCAGAGCAGAGAGGCCGAGAUCCAGAGUACCACGAAGCACGAGGAAUUUUGUGGGAAGCAGGGGGGACCACCCUCCAAGGCUAAAAACUACUUGGCGACCGAUAGCGCAUAGUACCGUGAGGGAAAGGUGAAAAGAACCCCGGGAGGGGAGUGAAAUAGUACCUGAAACCGUAUGUCUACAAGCAGUCGAAGCGAAAGCGACGGCGUGCCUAUUGAAGAAUGAACCAACGAGUUAUCUGCACUAGCGAGGUUAAGUGGAAGACACGGAGCCGUAGCGAAAGCGAGUCUUAAGAGGGCGCUAGUUAGUGUAGGUAGACCCGAAACCGCAGUGAUCUACCCAUGUCCAGGUUGAAGCGCAGGUAAAAUUGCGUGGAGGACCGAACCGGUGAGCGUUGAAAAGCUUUCGGAUGAGAUGUGGGUAGGGGUGAAAUUCCAAUCGAACGCGGAGAUAGCUGGUUCUCCCCGAAAUAGCUUUAGGGCUAGCCUGAGGUAGUAAGUAUAGGCGGUAGAGCACUGAUCGGGCUAGGGGCCGUAAAGGUUACCGAACCCUGUCAAACUCCGAAUGGAUAUACUGUAGAGCCUUGGAGUCAGACUACGAGUGAUAAGAUCCGUGGUCAAAAGGGAAACAGCCCAGACCACCAGCUAAGGUCCCCAAUGUCGUACUAAGUGGAAAAGGAUGUGGGGUUUCAUAAACAACCAGGAUGUUGGCUCAGAAGCAGCCACCAUUUAAAGAGUGCGUAAUAGCUCACUGGUCGAGAGACCCUGCGCCGAAGAUUCCCGGGGCUAAAGUACGAAACCGAAGCUGUGGCUGUAUACGUAAAGUAUACGGGGUAGGGGAGCGUUCCCAUAGGGUAGAAGUCGAACUGGAAGGUUCGGUGGACUUGUGGGAAGUGAGAAUGUUGGUAUGAGUAGCGAAAAGAAAGGUGAGAAUCCUUUCCACCGAAAGCAUAAGGAUUCCUGAGCAACGAUCGUCGUCUCAGGGUAAGUCGGGACCUAAUCCGAGGCAGAGAGCGUAGGAGAUGGACAACUGGUUGAUAUUCCAGUACCGGUAGUAAUUGUUUGAGCAAUGGAGUGACACAGAAGGGCAGGCAAGCAUGCGAAUGGAAGAGCAUGUGUAAGCGUGUAGGGUGGUGCAUAGGCAAAUCCGUGCACUGAAAGCCUGAGGCGUGAUGCGGAGUGAGCAGAGAUGCGAGCGAAGUUGUUGACCCCACACUGUCGAGAAAAGCUUCUAGUGAGAGAGCUACCGCCCGUACCGUAAACCGACACAGGUAUGCGGGGAGAGAAUCCUAAGGUGCGCGGGAGAACCCUCGUUAAGGAACUCGGCAAAAUGUACCCGUAACUUCGGGAUAAGGGUAGCCACUGUUGUGAAGUCCCAUGCGGAUGGAGCAUAGAGUGGUCGCAGAGAAGAGGCCCAAGCGACUGUUUACCAUAAACACAGGUGCCUGCUAAAGCGAAAGCUGACGUAUAGGUGCUGACACCUGCCCAGUGCCGGAAGGUUAAGGAAGGAUGUUCGGAGUAAUCCAAAGCAUUCGACUGAAGCCCCGGUGAACGGCGGCCGUAACUAUAACGGUCCUAAGGUAGCGAAAUUCCUUGUCGGGUAAGUUCCGACCCGCACGAAAGGUGUAACGAUUUGGGCACUGUCUCAACGAGGGACCCGGUGAAAUUGAAAUACCUGUGAAGAUGCAGGUUACCCGCGACUGGACAGAAAGACCCCAUGGAGCUUUACUGUAACCUGACAUUGGGUUUUGAUACAUUACGUACAGGAUAGGUGGGAGGCUUGGAAAGCUGGACGCUAGUCUGGCUGGAGCCGACGUUGGGAUACCACCCUUGAUGUAUUGAAAUUCUAACCGCGAGAGUAACGAAAUCCGGGACAGUGUCAGGCGGGCAGUUUGACUGGGGCGGUCGCCUCCGAAAGAGUAACGGAGGCGCCCAAAGGUUCCCUCAGCGCGGCCGGAAAUCGCGCGAAGAGUGUAAAGGCAGAAGGGAGCUUCAUGAUUUUUAUGGAAAAGAGAGCGUGGGCGGGUCCAUUUACCUGGAUUUUGAAAGCCAGGGGGAUUUUGUGGGCCGCAACAACAUCCUGUACGGGCACAAUAUGAAAAACGGCAGCAUGUUCAAAGAUGUGAUAUAUUAUAAGGAUGAGAAGUAUUUUAAGGAACACCAGUAUUUCAGCAUCUACACGCCGGACCGUGAGAUUAAGCUUAAGGCAGUUGCCUGCUAUUACGGGGAGGCAGAGCCCAUUGUACGCAAGACGCGGUUUAAAUCCCAGGAAUCCUUUGACGCCUUUGUGCAUGAGAUGGUGAAGCCGUGCGGCUACGGCGACGAGAUUACAUAUCCGGCCAAGACCUUGUAUACCCUGGUUACAUGCAGCUAUGAAAUCAACCCCUUGUUGACAACCAAAAGUUAAAUCUCCGAUAUCUUUUUCUGAUAAAUAAUCAAAUCCUAAUUUAAUUCCUGGAACAUUGAUUCCACGUUUGUUUUUAACUACACCAUCGUUAGCACAUACACAA
rnacentral:rRNA from 1 species